rnacentral:rRNA from 1 species
CGGAAAACUGGGGAUAAUACCCGAUAGAUCUCGACUGCUGGAAUGCAUCGAGAUCCAAAGCUCCGGCGUCUAAGGAUGGAUCUGCGGCCUAUCAGGUAGUAGUGGGUGUAGCGUACCUACUAGCCUACGACGGGUACGGGUUGUGAGAGCAAGAGCCCGGAGAUGGAUUCUGAGACACGAAUCCAGGCCCUACGGGGUGCAGCAGGCGCGAAAACUUUACAAUGCUGGCAACAGCGAUAAGGGGACCUCGAGUGCCAGGUUACAAAUCUGGCUGUCGUGAUGCCUAAAAAGCAUUGCAUAGCAAGGGCCGGGCAAGACCGGUGCCAGCCGCCGCGGUAACA